UGCAAGUCGAACGAAGUUUUUCUUUCGGGAGGAACUUAGUGGCGGACGGGUGAGUAACGCGUGGGUAACCUGCCCUGUACAGGGGGACAACAGCUGGAAACGGCUGCUAAUACCGCAUAAGCCCUUAGCACUGCAUGGUGCAUAGGGAAAAGGAGCAAUCCGGUACAGGAUGGACCCGCGUCUGAUUAGCCAGUUGGCAGGGUAACGGCCUACCAAAGCGACGAUCAGUAGCCGAUCUGAGAGGAUGUACGGCCACAUUGGGACUGAGACACGGCCCAGACUCCUACGGGAGGCAGCAGUGGGGAAUAUUGCACAAUGGAGGGAACUCUGAUGCAGCGACGCCGCGUGAGUGAAGAAGUAUUUCGGUAUGUAAAGCUCUAUCAGCAGGGAAGAAAAUGACGGUACCUGACUAAGAAGCACCGGCUAAAUACGUG
rnacentral:rRNA from 1 species